ACGUUGAAACAUCGGCUCCCAUACGAUCACCAAAGUUAAGCAAUAUUAAACCUGGUCAGUAGCUAGAUGAAUGACUUCUUGGAAAUACCGGGUGCUGUUA